UACGUAGGGGGCAAGCGUUGUCCGGAAUCAUUGGGCGUAAAGCGCGUGUAGGCGGCUCGAUAAGUCUGCUGUGAAAGUUCAGGGCUCAACCCUGAAAUGCCGGUGGAAACUGUCGAGCUAGAGUCCGGAAGAGGCGAGUGGAAUUCCUGGUGUAGCGGUGAAAUGCGCAGAUAUCAGGAGGAACACCAAUGGCGAAGGCAGCUCGCUGGGACGGUACUGACGCUGAGACGCGAAAGCGUGGGGAGCGAACGGG
rnacentral:rRNA from 1 species